UGAUGGAUUGGUAUCUGGGGAGAGAGAAAAGGAGUGAGGAAAAACCAGAAAACUUCUCAAUCUUAGAUCUACGAUUUCUCUCUAUUCUUCCACUCAAAUUCUUAUAUUUGUUGUGUCUUCUUUCCUUUUUCUUGUGAUCUAUAAGAUGAGGUGAAUUUUUUUUGUUUUUGGUCCGUGUUUGGAGGAAUAUGAUUAGCUUCUUUUAACUACCAUGAUUGAUAAUGAAUUAAGCUUUGGCUUUGCUAAUUUCCCUCCUUUGAUUGAUUCUAACGGAAGUGGAAGUCUGAAGCACAACCCUAGCUAGCUCUAUUAGUGGUGCUAUUUCUGAAGAUUUAAUCCCUAAAAUGGCGGAAAUAAUAAAAGGGGUGGUGAGGAUGUUGUUACUGAAUUGACUCAUAAUAAGCAUGAGAUUGUUCUACAUGGGAAAGAAGAUGGGGGUUUUGAGUCAAACGGAACAGUGGGCUACUCUGCAAUUGGGGGUGUAUAAAAUACCGUCUCUAAAGAUUGAAGAACUUUGUUCCUUGUUGCUAAGCCUGUCAUCCCUCAACUUCCAAUUAAACUUUUUCCAUCUGCUGAGCUAAAUGGUAAGAGGGUGGUGGAUUAUGCAGCAGGUGAUUUCUCUGCAGGAAUCAAAGGAUGUGAGGAUUAUGUAAUCGGUUUUUGCAUGGGUAAACGACUUUCUUUUCCAGCAUUCAAGGAAGCUGUAAGCAAUCAUUGGAAAUUCAAGAAUGAAGUUGUUUUGGAAAUGCCGGUUGAAUAUCCAUGGAAACCCACCAAAUGUGAUUUGUGUAAAGUAUUUGGUCAUUCUUUUAAAAAUUGCACGAAGAAGCUGAAAUUAAGAUGGACAUCUAAGAAGAAUGGCUUGGAUCUUGAUAAAACUAAAUCAACAGUAAUGAAGAAUGUUGUCAGUGACAUUCAUGGAGAAAAUAUCAAGGAUUCAGAUGGUAGAAACACAACAGACAAUGAUGCUCAAAAUGAUUGGAAUGGGUAUGACAGAAGCCUCAGCUUCUCAAGAUAGUGGGGGUGGAAGUAAGGUAACAGAAAAGAAUACUCCCCAAAACUCUCAGAAGAGGGGUGAAGGGAGAAUGUCGGUCCUAAGAAGACUGAUGGCUUCCCAAAACCUUCAAAAGAAGCUAUUGUUAGUGAAAGUGUCUCUGCCCCAAUUGUGGUAAAAUCUAUGGAGCCAACUGUGAAGCAUAAUCUCUCUGAGAAGAGUUCGGUCAAGUCAGCAAGUAAUAGACAUGCGACUAUAGUCAUCAGCAUUGGGUCAACUCCUAAGUCAGUUGGGAUGCAAGAGAAAGGACACAAACACAGACCUUUUCAUUUGGCAAGUGACUUUCCAUACCAAUGGAAAGAUUUGUCUACGGAUAAGUCUGAUAAGAGAGACCACAAAGAAGAGGCGGCUAAUACAAGCGUUAAUGUAACUAAGGUUAGUAGCCCGAUAAAGAAUCAAUUUGUUCCAACAAAGACUCCUAUCAAGACCACUAGUAUCCAAAAGAAAGGUGAAGGACAAAAGGAGAAGCAUAAUUCCUUUCUUGUAGAGGGACUCCCUUCUUUCAAGCCUGGUAGUAUAAAGUUAUUUCAGGUUAUCAAGGAGACUUAGUAAAGAAUCAAGUAUUGACAAACGAUGAUGGUAACUGGAAGUUAGAAAUCUCCUAUUAAGGAGGUUGCAUUUGACAAGAAAGGCACUACAAAGUCUAAAAACGGUGUGAACAACACUUUUAGAGUGUUAAGCAACGAAAAUCAACAAUGAAGUCAAGAUCAUGAUAGAGUUUUAAUUGAAGAGUGUGAGGAAGAUAAUGAAGAAUUCUACGACGUAGAAGCCGAUAUACAUGCUCACUAUUUGGCUUAUGAAGACAAAAAUAAAAAGAAAACUGAAAAAGAACGUUCAAGGCUCAAAUGGAAUGGCGAAAUUCCAAAUCAGAAUUUGGGUAAAGACCAACGCUCUGCAUCUAGAAAGCAAAAGUAAUUUGCUUUUCUAGUUUGUGAUGUAUCAGGUUCUUUCUUUGUUAUUGCUUGGUUCAAGAGUUGGCUUUUGGCACUCUUUUAGUUUUGUUUUUGGUUUUUGGUGUUGUCAAUGCCCUCACUUUUGGACUCGCUUAGGCGCUUCUUUCCUGUACUCUUUUUUUAUUUUAAUGAAUCUAACCUUUCUAGUAAAAAAA